ensembl:snRNA LOC120093922 U6 spliceosomal RNA
GUGCUCGCUUUGGCAGCACACACAGUCACCUUGGGAUAGCAUGGAGAUUAGCCUGGCCCCUGUGAAAGGAUGACACGCAAUUCUGUGAAGUGUCCCAUAGUAAA